CCUACGGGGGGCAGCAGUGGGGAAUAUUGGGCAAUGGGCGCAAGCCUGACCCAGCAACGCCGCGUGAAGGAAGAAGGCUUUCGGGUUGUAAACUUCUUUUGUCAGGGAAGAGUAGAAGACGGUACCUGACGAAUAAGCCACGGCUAACUACGUGCCAGCAGCCGCGGUAAUACGUAGGUGGCAAGCGUUGUCCGGAUUUACUGGGUGUAAAGGGCGUGUAGCCGGGUUGACAAGUCAGAUGUUAAAUCCUGCGGCUUAACCGCAGAACUGCAUUUGAAACUGUUGAUCUUGAGUACUGGAGAGGCAGAUGGAAUUCCUAGUGGAGCGGUGAAAUGCGUAGAUAGUAGGAGGAACACCAGUGGCGAAGGCGGUCUGCUGGACAGCAACUGACGGUGAGGCGCGAAAGCGUGGGGAGCAAACAGGAUUAGAUACCCGAGUAGUC
rnacentral:rRNA from 1 species